rnacentral:rRNA from 1 species
CCUACGGGGGGCUGCAGUGGGGAAUUUUGGACAAUGGGGGCAACCCUGAUCCAGCCAUGCCGCGUGCGGGAAGAAGGCCUUCGGGUUGUAAACCGCUUUUAGCCGGGAAGAAAAGGCGAGGGAUAACACCCUUCGUUCUUGACGGUACCGGCGGAAUAAGCACCGGCUAACUACGUGCUAGCAGCCGCGGUAAUACGUAGGGUGCGAGCGGUGAUCGGAAUUACUGGGCGUAGUGCGUUAGCAGGGGGUUGAAAGCCCCGGGCUCAACCUGGGAAUGGCAUUGGAUACUGGCGGGCUUGAGUGUGGCAGAGGGGGGUGGAAUUCCGCGUGUAGCAGUGAAAUGCGUAGAGAUGCGGAGGAACACCGAUGGCGAAGGCAGCCCCCUGGGCUGACACUGACGCUCAGGCACGAAAGCGUGGGGAGCAAACAGGAUUAGAUACCCCGGUAGUC